AGUGAACGCUGGCGGCAGGCCUAAUACAUGCAAGUCGAACGGCAGCACGGGGCAACCUGGUGGCGAGUGGCGAACGGGUGAGUAUGCAUCGGAACGUACCUUUCAGUGGGGGAUAACGUAGCGAAAGUUACGCUAAUACCGCAUAUUCUGUGAGCAGGAAAGCAGGGGAUCGCAAGACCUUGCGCUGAUUGAGCGGCCGAUGUCAGAUUAGCUAGUUGGUGAGGUAAAGGCUCACCAAGGCGACGAUCUGUAGCGGGUCUGAGAGGAUGAUCCGCCACACUGGAACUGAGACACGGUCCAAACUCCUACGGGAGGCAGCAGUGGGGAAUUUUGGACAAUGGGGGCAACCCUGAUCCAGCCAUGCCGCGUGAGUGAAGAAGGCCUUCGGGUUGUAAAGCUCUUUCGGCCGGGAAGAAAUCGCACGGGCUAAUACCCUGUGUGGAUGACGGUACCGGAAUAAGAAGCACCGGCUAACUACGUGCCAGCAGCCGCCGCGGUAA
rnacentral:rRNA from 1 species